CACUUUAUGUUGCUUAUUUAAUCAAACGAUAAGGAAGUCAGUGAUGUGCGUAAUUCAUUUUGACUAAAACAUGCAAGUCUGGAUACUGGCAACAUGUAUUGCUUUCAAUAUUAUCAUCAGUCCGUCAAUUGCUUUAGAUUAUACUGAAGGUUCAAGACUUGUUUACAAAAGAAAUCCAGCUCCUGAUGGACACAGAUGUGGUGUAUGUCCAACGUAUUUCCAGAAAAUCUGCGCUUUCAAUUAUAGAACCAACGCAACGUUUAUUUUUGAUAACCACUGCGUUAUGGACCUAUACAACUGUAUCCAAGGAACGGAAUUCGUUCCGCUAAAGUAUGAACAUUGCUUAUACUUCGGAAACUUCGCAUACGUCCACGGGUAUAAAUAUGAAGACAUAGAUUAUGGAGAAGAUCACAUAAUAGUGAAAAAUACGCAGAAGAAUCAAGAUUUUGUCAGAUAACUGUUAUAUGCACAAUAUAAUAAAAAAGUAUUAAUUUAAA